GUCUUCUUCGCCUGUCUGUCUAAAAACUCUCGCCCUCAACAGAAAUGGAAACCAAGCAAAUUCUUUCACCACAAAUCCCAAUCCAAGCUACGCAUGACCCAAAAUAAUACAAAUAUGCUUGCAAUUCCAUCAUUUCAACCUCUUAAACCCAGUACACAACUGAUUCAAACCCUUCUACGAUAAUAUGGUCUUCAAUGGCAGCGCAUGAAAGAUCCUACACUUUCAGAUAAAUACACAUCCGACAUAUGUGUAAAAACGCAGAAGGGUUUUGAAGCUGAAAACGAGUUCGAAGAAAUGAAGAUAAGUAUUCUAUUACCUAAAAUUUACAAUAAAAUAUUUAGCUAAAAUAUUAAAUCAGUUGAUCUGGUAAAUUUUUUUGUCGUGCAUGUAUAUUUUUUUGCAAUUUAAGUUGAAUAAUUGACCAUGUUAUUUGUUGAAAUACGAUACUAAAUUUGUUUAAGUAUGUAAUAUUUAGUUGUAUUGAACAUGCAAGAUUAUUACUUGAACAUUUGUGUUCAUAAAUUCUCACAAGGCAGAUGAAGAGAAUAAUAAUCUGAUGCCUUGUAUUUCUAUUUGUAUUUGUUCUAAAUGAUCUUAAAUUUCAGUUGCCAUGUUCAGACAGUAAAUGGUAACAGCAAAUCAGUUUCCAUGGACUGUCUAUUGAUCUGUAAUUUUUGUUCUUUAGGGAGCAAUUCAGGUAGAAUUUUGAACUGAAUCCUUUAUAAUGUUGAUGAUGAUACAGAUCAUGGAGAGAUGAAGAAUUAUACACAUGCUCCCUUCCUGAGUUUGAUGAUUCAACUUCCAUUAUUCAAUAGAACAGAGGGGUUUGAAUUAGAAACAUUGUUGAUAGAUAGCCCCAAUCGGGCACUCAGCCUGGAAGAACAGAGGUAGUCAGUCCUGAUUACUUGGGACGCUUAGCAGUUCAAGGGAAGAGGCCUCCUUCACAAGCAACGAAUGGCAUGGGCACCCGGGCGACCAGGCUCCGCAAUUGGUGUGUUGCCGACCGGGCUACUAGUUGUCCCGGAUGGGCGACCAGGCUGGGUAGUCAGCGUGUCCCCGAUCGAGUGCGCGUCCCAGAGGCAGUUAAGGUUGAAUUCCGUUGAGAUUCUUUCCUUGGGCGGCAAGUAGUUUCCUUUUCUUAUUUUAGGCAAUUAAUGCGCCGGUCUUGGUAGUUUCCAAUGCAUAAUUUUAGUUAUUUUCCUUCUUCUUGCCUUAUAGAGGAUCUAACUCCUUGUAUAAAUACCCUCUCGGCUUCAUCUUGUAACGAGUAUGGAAUUCAAGUUAUUAACCGAAGAUGCCAUAGAAUCGGCUCUUUGAGAUUGAAAGCGAGCUCUUGACUCGAGGGUGGUUACUCUGCCCCUUUGUUCUCAAAUACUUUAUUCCUUUUAACCUAGUAUUUUACGGUAGUGUUGGCCCGCCGAACGACUGCCCUAAGCCGUAAAACCAACAAUUGUUAUUAUUAAGCAGGAGUCACCACUUAUUGUUAUGGAAUCGGUUGAAGAGGCAAAUAGUAUGGGCCAAUUAAAUGUCUUAGGAAUCAAAGAUCUUGACUAGUUAGGCUCAAUC